AACUAAGAAACUUUAGAUAAGUAUUUACUUUGAAAGUAAAAUAAUAAGGUUAAAUUCCUUAAUUAGUUU
rnacentral:tRNA from 1 species